rnacentral:rRNA from 1 species
GGACUACUAGGGUAUCUAAUCCCGUUUGCUCCCCUGGCUUUCGCGCCUCAGCGUCAGAAGAGGUCCAGCGCGCCGCUUUCGCCACCGGUGUUCCUUCCGAUAUCUACGCAUUUCACCGCUCCACCGGAAGUUCCGCACGCCCCUACCUCCCUCCAGGCCGCCAGUAUCAAAGGCACUUCCACGGUUGAGCCGUGGGCUUUCACCCCUGACUUAGCAGCCCGCCUACGCGCCCUUUAAGCCCAGUGAUUCCGAACAACGUUCGCACGGUUCGUCUUACCGCGGCUGCUGGCAC